rnacentral:rRNA from 1 species
CAUGCCCUGACGGCUCCAGAGAUGGAGCUAUUCCUUCGGGACAGGUGCACAGGUGCUGCAUGGCUGUCGUCAGCUCGUGUCGUGAGAUGUUGGGUUAAGUCCCGCAACGAGCGCAACCCUCGCCCUUAGUUGCCAGCAUUCAGUUGGGCACUCUAGGGGGACUGCCGGUGAUAAGCCGAGAGGAAGGUGGGGAUGACGUCAAGUCCUCAUGGCCCUUACGGGCUGGGCUACACACGUGCUACAAUGGCGGUGACAGUGGGCAGCCAGACCGCGAGGUCGAGCUAAUCCCAAAAAGCCGUCUCAGUUCGGAUUGCACUCUGCAACUCGAGUGCAUGAAGUUGGAAUCGCUAGUAAUCGUGGAUCAGCAUGCCACGGUGAAUACGUUCCCGGGCCUUGUACACACCGCCCGUCACACCAUGGGAGUUGGUUCUACCCGAAGGCGUUGCGCUAACCGCAAGGAGGCAGGCGACCACGGUAGGGUCAGCGACUGGG